UGAACAUCUUCCAAUUUUCAAACAGACCCUCUGCAAAGUUGUCAUUUCAAGAAGAUGAAGACGAAUUUCCAGUAAAAAAAGAAUGUGAGGACAUCAUCACAAGGGAUGCCACUCCUGCCAACUCCUCCUUUGUUUCCCACAGCAGCAUCAUGCAGCAGCAGCAGUGAAGAUAGAAUAUCACCAGCAAUGGGAACAGGGACAGUGACAAGAGCACCCAGCUCCCUCUAUCAGCUGCAGCCAAUAAAUCUUCUAUCAAGGAAUCAGAGACAGAGGCCAUGAUGAGGAGCUGGCUGAAGUACAAUGGAGAUAGGGAUGGGGAGCAGAAGAGGGCAGAAAAAAAAAACAAUGCUGAACCUGCAAAUGCUGCUGCAAGUACUGAUGGUACUGCUGCCAGUGACAGUGAAGAAGAUUAAGAUAUUGUUUGAUCCAUCUUUCUGCAUUCUAGAAACAUAUUUGCAUACAAUUAAUCUUAAUAAAUACUCUUAAAUGCAAAGCUAGUAAUGACAAAAAGGGCUUGAUGUUCUUUACCUUUUAAUUAACUUUUCAAUUGCUGAAACACUAUUAGUUUGUUCAAGGCCUGCAAACCAGAGGCUUAUUACACCCACAGACAAACAUACAACAGACACAUGGCACAGGAGACCUGACCUGUCACUGCUCAAUACAGUACUUGGCAACAGAGUUAAAAUCUCCUGACCAUAAAUCAGCCCAGGCGCACCCCACUUCAUGAUAAAUGACUAGAUAAGCCUCCACUGUCUUGGGAUCAAGGAACACAGCCAAAGCACACCCUGUUCUUGUUCUCAUUUAACCCUGUAGUGGUAAUCCCCAAGGCUGAUUUUAUAAGCUCUGUAAUAUGACAAUGAUAACCACUGACUAUUUACUAGCUCCAAAACUUUCACUGAAGAGAUUUAGGACAGGACAGAUCAGAAAACUUUCAACUGAAACAGAAAAUGCAAAUUUUAAAAUCUUAUCAGAUAAGUUGGAUUAGCUUGUUCCUAUUUUAAAUUUACC